GCUUGCAGUCACACCACCUUAGGGUAUGAUUUCAUACAACUAAGCAGGGCUGGGCUUGGUCAGUAUUGGAGAAGUGAUUUACAGGAAAGUCCGCUGCAGGAAGUG
rnacentral:rRNA from 1 species